CAGUGUGCUAUCCACUGUGCCACCUAGAUGCCUUAAAAUUAAGGUUCCUUGUGAGAAAAUCCAGAAACAAAGUAGAAGAAGAAUGACAGAAUAUUUGAACGAAGGAGGAGGGCCUUUGUCUGAGAGAUGGGAGAACCAAAAUAACUAAUGGAGCUGAUGCCCAAAUCAAGCAUGGAGAUAGUAAAAGAACAGACUCAGCUGACUUUGAUGAAUUCAAGUCCCCCGGCCCAGAUGGACUCUGCGUCUCCAACUCCUGAGAGACUGGCCAGUGUGACUGAGAAACCACAAAGCGGGAGAAGGGCAGAUUGUCUGAUUUUCAAAAAAAAUGGGAAGAAACAAUCUGUAUAUCGUAGGCCUGUGAGCUUAACUUUGAUUCUGGGAAGAAUACUAAAAUAGAUCAUGACAGAAAAGGCGAGUGAACAACCACAUAAUGACAUAGUGCUUACGAUGGGCCAACUUUGGUCUUCUCAAGAACAGAUCAUGCCAAACACAUUUCGCUUCAUUUCUUAAUAGGAUUAAUAAACUUGGAGAUGAGGGGAAUACAGUGGCUAUAGAUCAUCUCGAUUUUAGUAAGGUUCUUGAUAAAGGAUCUCAUCCCAUUUCCAUGGAGAAGAUGGAGAGAUAUGGGAUGGACAAUAAUCUGAUCAGAUGGAUUCAGAACUGGUUGUUAGUGAUUCCAUGUCAAAGUGAUAGAAUGUCCCCAGUGGAGGACCCCAGAGAUCUGUGCUUGGUCCUUUGUGGCUUAAUAUUUUUAUCUGUCACAUCACCAGGCAUCAAAUUGGCAGCUGACACAAAGUUGGGAGAGAGAGCUGGCACAUUGAGGGGAGGCAGAUUCUGUAUCUAAAAGUAUUUUGGCAGGCUACAGUAUUGGAAUGGAUUUAACAAUAGGAAAUUCAAUAGGGAUAAAUGUAAAGUCUCAUACCUGUGUACAAAAAUUAGGUUGCCAAGUACAAAGUGACAUGAGUCUACUUAGACAACUGUUGUUCUGAAAACAAUCUGAGCCUUUUAAUGGACUGCAUACUCCAUAUGGGUCAGCAGUAUGCUGUCACAGCCAAACAAGGUGCUGCAAUCUUGGGCUACAUUAAGGAUGGUAUGGCUUACAGGAAGAGGCAAGUGAUAGUUGUCUUGCAUUCUGCUCUUAUCACACCUCAUCUGGAGCUUUGCUGACCUCCAGUCUUGCAUCUCCACCUGCCUUUCAGACAUCUCAUUUUGGAUGUCCAGUAGACAUCUGAAACUCAAUGUGUCCAAAAUGGAACUUUCCUCUUAAUCUUUCUCCCUAAAAUUUCUCCCCCUCUUCCCUUCCCUAGUAUGCUAUAGGGUAACACCAUCCUCCCAAUACCCCUGGCUCACAAUCCAGGAGUCAUCCAGGAUUCCUCACUCACUCUGACCUCCCUUCCCCAUCCAAUCUGUUGCCAAUGCCUGUCAAUUUUACCUUUAAAGCAUCUCUCAAACGCUCCUCC